rfam:Schistosoma margrebowiei strain Zambia genome assembly, scaffold: SMRZ_contig0000474
GCCGGCGACCAUACCACAUUGAAAGCACCGGUUCUCGUCCGAUCACCGCAGUUAAGCAACGCUGGGCCCGGUCAGUACUUGCAUGGAUGACCGGCUGGGAAUACAGGGUGUCACCGGCU